UGUGCACCCAUUUUUUGUCCUAACAGUAUUUAUGAAUUUUUUAUGUUUUAUUUCUGAAAUAUUUUAAUAACUUCAUUUCAUUAUAUAGAUGAGGAAUAAUUUAUUUAACCAAUACCCUGUGGCUGGAUAUUUAACAAAUCUGCACGGGAACAUGAACAUUUCUAUAAUUAUUUCAAAAGUGAAUGAAAUGCUAGGAAAUUAAGGGCAGUACGGCAUUUCUUCCAAAAUUCAGUCUUUCAGGCAUUUAUAAUGGUGGUAAAGUUUUGGGUUCUAUAAUCUAAGAUAAAUAUUGAAAUCUGAGGAUUCAGAGGAGGACAGUAAACACAGCAUUGAGAAAUAGGAAUUGCAGUUAUUUGAGAAAGCUUACAGAUGCCUAUAUUUAUAUUUAUUUAUACAAAAAGAAUAUCCCAUAACAUCUUGUAUUUUUGUUAUGUCACUCUCACAGUCCAUCAAUGUAGAAUUAUCAUGUAUGUCUCCUCUUCACUUCUAGUCUGUGAGCUCCCAGAGGGCAGAAAUCAUCUCAUGUCUAUUUACCCCAUAGUGUAUGCUGUUUGAAGAGAAAAUGUCCAUCGAAUAGGAGUUGAGCAUAAUUGUGACAUCUCAAAGGAAGGGGGAGCAGCGAUAGUUCAGUCCUGCCUGCAGUCACUAUGCUCAUUUUCAUAAGCUUCUACAGGAAUUGCCAGGCAUGUGACUCUGUAAAUACUGCUAGUGUGCUGUUGCGUUUCCUAUUCCCAUGAGGAAGAAUUGAAGAGCUUCUCCUCACUGCCUCACUCCACUAUGUUUGCCUGCUGGAUGGCCACGGUUGGAAGUGUUUCAUUGAAGUGUGAUGAUCUGACACUCUUGUGGCGCAGCUGAGGGACAAGUUUUCCAUAGUGGUGACAUAAUUCAAGUUUUCUGGGCACUUUUUGGACUAAGUAUCUAGGAGAUGAAGCUGUGAGAUGUCUAAAGAAAGAUCAAGAAUGGUAGUGCCUGUGGAGCACAGUGAAUCCAUGUAUUCAAAUUAUGCUGCCUCAAACUUCGAAGGCUGUGAAAUUUUACUAGCCUCUUGAGCAGUAAGGUUACUGGAAAUUUUAGGUUGUUUGAAUCACAACUUCCCACAUCUCAUGACAAAUCAAUUUAGGUGGCUUGUGCCUUGCUAAACUAGGUCUGAUUCUGGUGAGGGUUGGUUGGCGUUUGUUAACAGGAAACAGAAAAUGUCCUUAAUUAGAUCUUUUUUUUUUUGGUAGCGGGUAACAAAAUAAAGGCUCUUAGUCAAGUCUCCAGUUAAUAGAGAAAAACAUCGUAUCUUGUCUCCUUACAUGUUAUGCCUCCCCUCCCGCCUCAAAAUCAGAGAAACAUGUUUAUAAACUCUUAUUUUCCCUAGCAAAAUCAAGCAAGUUGGAGUUGUGGGAGUUAAAUAUUCUUUUAAAAUAGCUCCUUUCUUUAUUCCACUGCUGAAGUUUGUAUAAAAUUGCUAUAAUGUAUUUAAAGUGCUUAGGACCAUGACUGAACAUAGCAUUCAAUAAGUUUCAGCUAUUCGUUUUUUUUUAAAGAAAACAAUAUCAUAAUAUAAAAGCUCACAAAGCUUUUGGAUGCAGUCACAAUAACUAAUAAAUUUGAUCUUAAAAAGGGAGAAGAAUCAAAAUUAAAGUAGCAAUUAAGAUAAUGAAAGGCACGAGAAUAACCUAGAUGCGUAUUAUGUUGUAUUUUUUUAACCUAAUAAGAUAACACUAUAGUUCCUGAAUGUUAGUGAGCAGAGCUAAUUACUUUUCCUUGUUCACAGUGCCACCUUCAGGAAAGAGAAGUUUCAUUUUAAUUUAGUGCAAAUGUAUCCUUACUGGAUUGAGCCAGCUCAGGUACCUAAAGAUCAGGCAUAAUAAAGACGAUGUUUGUUUUAAUUUAUUAUUAUGAGACUAUCUCCUCUGAUUCUUUCUACCUGGCUGUGUUCAGUGCAGAAAAUCAAUCUGUGGGCUUUUACGUUUUGAUGUGGGGCAUUUAAAAAAUUGAUUAGAAAUAAAAUGCAUGGGGCUGGCCUGGUGGCAUGGUGGUUAAGUUUUGCUCUUUGCUUUGGUGGCCCUGGGUUCACCAGUUCGGAUCUCAGGCGUGGACCUAGCACUGCUCAUCAAGCCAUUCUGUGGCAGGCGUCCCACACAGAAAAUAGAGGAAGAUGGGCACAGAUGUUAUCUCAGGGCUAAUCUUCCUCCAAAAAAAAAAAAAAAAAAGAGAGAGAGAGAAAUAAAAUGCAUAUGGUUUCUAAUUUAUUUUCCUUUGGAACACCAUACUUAGCUUAUAAUAUAUAAAUUAUGCAGUUUUUAUGUUAUCUCCAAGAGAUUCAAUAGUUUUCCUUGAGAAUUUCUGCCUUUAACCAGUCUCAUAAGGAAAUUUUCCAUUAUAUCAAAUAAAAAAUGGAAUUAAGCAAUUAUUUACUUCUAGUAAUUAAAAUAUUACCCAAUGGAUGAAUAAUUGGUUGAGGAAGCUGGAGAAGGUCAGAUUAAACAACCCGAGGGAGGGGAAGGGGGAGAGGUACUAGAACUUUCCAGGGCUGCAUUGUCCAAUGUCAUUUGGGGUGGGGUGAAUCGUGGUAAAUCCUAAGCAGGAAAAGAAGAGGGUGCUAUGACAGCAAAUAAUUGGAGGUUGGGAUAUGGCCUGAAAAGUCAAGAAAGGAAGUAAUGUUUGAAUUGAACUCUCGAAUAAGGUCAGAAAUUAACUAGGUCAAGGAGGAGGGGCAACAGGAGGAACAAAAUAUACAAAAAUCUUAAAACGAAAGGAGUAUGGUUUCUUUAAGGAAAAGAAAGGUCGCUGUAAAUAGAAUGCAAG
ensembl:lncRNA